UAAUACGGGGGAGGCAAGCGUUGUCCGGAAUCACUGGGCGUAAAGGGUGUGUAGGUGUCCUGGUGGGUCAAGUGUGAAAUCCAACAGCUUAACUGUUGAAGUGCACAUGAAACUAUCGGGAUUGAGGACAUGAGGGGAGAGCGGAACUCGCGGUGUAGCGGUAGAAUGCGUGGAUAUCGCGAGGAAUGCCGAUGGCGAAGGCGGCUCUCUAGUAUGCCGAGAGAAGCGAAAAAACUUCGGGUUUUGAUUAAUCGGUCCUGACACUGAAACACGAAAGCUGGGGGAGCGAACGGGAUUAGAUACCCCGGUAGUCCCAGCCCUAAACGAUGUACACUUGGCAUGCGCUAUAUUUGUGCGUGCCGUAGGUAACCUGUUAAGUGUACCGCCUGGGGGGUACGCUCGCAAGGGUG
rnacentral:rRNA from 1 species